CAAGCCUCUUCGCCAGCAGCGCUUGCUUGGGGUGAGGGAAUAGGUAAGAGGGGUGAGGUAAGGGGUGUAGGGCUUAGGAGGACCGGCCGCUGGAUCUCUGGGCUCACUCCGCCUCAGGCUGGCGCCCGUCCAGCGGCGCUACGAGCGGCUGCGCUUCGUGAUCGGCCACAAGAAGCCUAGGCGCGGCGGGCCGAGCUCGACGGCGCCGCCGGCGCCCGGCGCCGCCGGCGACUCGUCGGAAGUAGAAGGGGAGGGCAGCAACGGCUCGACCGGCUGGAGCUGCGGUAGCCUUAGGCGGCAGCCGCUCGACUGGCAGGGGCGGCGGUAAUCUCCGGAGGCGGAGCCCGACGAGGUGGGAGAGCUACGCCGACGGUAACGCUCUUCUCGGGGAAAGGCGAGACCGCCACUAGGGGAAACGGCGACACCCUCUCCUCAGAGGAGCCGAGGCCGCAGCUAGGUUGUUCGCCGUUGGUACCGCCCCAACGUCGACGCGCGCCGCGACGAGCACUGCCGGCCACUGUAGUGCCGAAGGCAGGAUCUCGAGGCAGAGGCGGCAAAGCGGAAUGUGUUCGCGCUGCGCCUCCAAGACCGUACCGAAGGACGUAGUUGUCGACUACCGGUAGGUACCGGGUCACGGGAAGCAGCCCCCUCGACAACCACGAGCGCAUCCGCCACACGAUCUCCUACUCAACGCCGAGCUUGUUCUAGACCCCUCCAGCCGCCGAAUCAGAAGGUAAAGGGGGGUGCUAGCUCGGUCGUCCUUGACGAUGACAACGAGUACACCUUUUUCCGGCCUGGACCAACCACCCCCACAAGAGGAGGGCUUGCUCAGCAUGAGCAAACUAGCUAGUGGGAGGGCAGGGUUUACACUGCAAGCCAGAGGCCAGAUGGGUCUGGCUUGCCGCGCGCAAUAGCCCCAGGAAAAAAUACCUGGUUUUCUCUGGGGCUUCGUGAUCUCGACCCGGUCCUUCACCUGCUCCUCCGGUGUUCGGGGGAUCGACGCGGGAUGGGGGCUCCGCGAUCGAGCCCCGAACACCCGGGGAACCGUGGAGGAACUGUACUCUGGCUACGGUUUUUAAGAAUAUUUAUGUAUUUGGAGGCUUUUCUUGAGAUCUAGCCUUCAAGGCGGUGGCGUUCGGAGAUAUAGGUACUUUUUGGUUAGCCCCGGAUAAGGCUGUGGGAUAGCCUCCCCCUUUAGUAGUAGCCUCAGGUAGAAGUAGUAGGGCUACCAGAGGUACUGCUCCGCCCUCAUCCAAUGGGAGCCCCGACUCCCAUACAUGUUAUCGAUACACAAACUAGAGAGAGGGAACACAAGAACUAAACCGUGCUAGAACUACAUGGUGCUCGAAACAAUGAUAUCAACCUAGUAUACCACAAAGAGGUAGAGAAAGAAGAACGAUACUUAACUCAAAAUGGAGACUCCAAAGUGAAAAUAGCCUAACUUAUUACAAUACCUGAACUCUUGUGAACUACAUACAGAACGUACCCUAUGGGUACCACUAUUACCCCACAAGAUAACUAAGUGAACUACAUACAAAACCGUGAGAUAAGUGCCUAAGAGUUCCAUUGUAACCCCAAUAGAUACGUAUCCCCAACUGCACGCAAAAGCAGGAACAAAGAGGCCAACUUUAGAACUCCGUAAGAAACUGCAAGAAACACAACCUAACUUAUAAUGCUUAGAUUUCAAACUACGUAUAGCAUAUUAACUGGGUGCCUAUUAACACCACUGUAACCUCAUAUAUCCACUGUAAUCCCAACUAACUACACAUAGUAUACCACAAUAAAAUGAUGCUUGAGAUCCCUACAGACACUGUGAAUAUCUUUAUCGAAUUACCUAACUAGCUUUUCUAAUUGAAACUCCACCAAAGCAUGGGAUGCUCGUUAAAGCAUAAUACAAGAGGCGCUAUCCUUGAAACCUCACUGAGAAACAACGUGUAACUCCCUAACAGUACACUAAGUUUAUACAAUAGCAACAACUCUCUAAAACGUGAUUACUUUCAUACUUGGAAUCCGGAACAAAAGUUAGUAACGGUAUGGCAAAAACGAGUGAAAACAAUGUUCAAUGGAAAGAUAAAAAUAAAUAAGUCUAAUAUUUUUAUAUAAAGAUGGUAGUUAUAAUGUGAACAUAGUGGUAGAGAAGCGGUUUGAUCACGUGGAUAUGUUAAACGGUAACAUAACCCACACAACCCCUGUGUUCUCUGAGAAACAAUAAGCCAACGUCCCAACAAACUCUCACUAGUAGAAGUAGGAUGCGGAGGGUGUCUAACUAUUUGGAAUCCAGUAGGUGAACUCCUUUUAAACGAUAACAGGAUGUUUUGAGACACGAACCUCCGGGUUGUGCUCAGAUGUUCUUCUUCCAACGCAUCAUCUGUAGCCACCAUGUUAAAAAAAAGUUUGACUCUGUACAUCUUGCCCUACUUAAAUGACGAAAGAUCGUAAACAUCAAAUUUCCGUUGGAUGGGGUGAGAAACCUCAUACUCUUUCGCCGGUUUUCAUAAACUUCCGGUUAAAGACUAAUGAGAUCACUCGUUAACAGUAAACAUGUAUUCCAACACCUAGAAGUUCAUAUGGUACAGUAGGUGUAAUUUCACAGCGAGUCUGG
rnacentral:rRNA from 1 species